AGUGAACGCUGGCGGUAGGCCUAACACAUGCAAGUCGAACGGCAGCACAGUAAGAGCUUGCUCUUACGGGUGGCGAGUGGCGGACGGGUGAGGAAUACAUCGGAAUCUACUUUUUCGUGGGGGAUAACGUAGGGAAACUUACGCUAAUACCGCAUACGACCUACGGGUGAAAGCAGGGGAUCUUCGGACCUUGCGCGAUUGAAUGAGCCGAUGUCGGAUUAGCUAGUUGGCGGGGUAAAGGCCGACCAAGGCGACGAUCCGUAGCUGGUCUGAGAGGAUGAUCCGCCACACUGGAACUGAGACACGGCCCAGACUCCUACGGUAGGCAGCAGUGGGGAAUAUUGGACAAUGGGCGCAAGCCUGAUCCAGCCAUACCGCGUGGGUGAAGAAGGCCUUCGGGUUGUAAAGCCCUUUUGUUGGGAAAGAAAAGCAGCAGGUUAAUACCCCGCUGUUCUGACGGUACCCAAAGAAUAAGCACCGGCUAACUUCGUG
rnacentral:rRNA from 1 species